UUUUAUAAUUUGCGGCUUUUUUCUUCACCACAAAAGUAACCAUAUCACUUUUCGCAAGGAAAAACACCUGAAUUAUACGCAAUCUGUUCUUUGUCCUGUUUUCUAUUUUACAAGAGCAAAAGUUAGGAAGAUAAAUUGAAAAAUAAGUUCUAGUCCUAAAUUCCUUCGUUUGGUCGGAAAUCGACAGUGUUGUAACGUCAUAUCAGCCAUUAUCGUGGACACCGGUCGCCACAUGGCAGACACGCGGGUGAGAGAUAUUGUUUGUAUUUUCCAGCUAUAGCAGCGUAGAGCAGUAUCGAUAGUGACGUAAUACGUCACGCGCUUUUUGUCCCAUUGCGUGCCACUGAGGAGAUGUGGGCGUAAAGUUGUAUGUUUUUCUUUCAUUUAACUAAACUGAAUUAGGUUCUAAACCACCCUCCAAACAGUUGCUCCCUUUAAUUAGAAGUCGAAGGCGUGUAGUAUACUAGUAUUGUUGCAGAGGGACUGGCUUGGACGCGACUUGGGUUCUAUUCAAAGAAAAAACGAGGUAUUUCUUCAGCUGGGCCAAGUUCAACAUGGUACUUAAUCAUUUCCUGCCACGCUUCUGACGAGUGACGAACGGUUUAUGAAUUAAUAAAUAUGAGAGUUGCGUUCGUCAAGUCACAUGAACGAUUAGCAUUGGCUACCAGCAAUGAGGCGCGAAUCACGCUGCUUCACUUUAAGUCUCCUUUCCAUGUGGGAGGACGAACAUAUAUUAAUUUUUGUCCUGAGUGAGAACAAAGUGGAAUUUUCAAGACCUGUCGCUACAAGGGCAUUAACUGAAAGGAAAAUUAACGAUUGAUACACCCUCGCGUUACUUAGGGACUCGAACAACUCAGGGUUUCUACAACAGAAUUAAGGCAACUUCAACUGCAGACGUAUUUAUCAUCUGUCUAUAUCAUCCCGAGAGCACUUGCAUCAGCUUUCAGUAGCAUCUGAAACUGUCUAUGGACACAAUGAGAUCCACACUCAGGAAAGAAACUAAUGAAGUCGGUGAACAUUUAGAACUGAGCGAGCAAAUGAAGACGCGAUGUCGACAGGUCGCGCGGGAGUUGCAGCAUUUAGGAGAUACACUCGAGAACAGAUAUUUUCGUCAAGACGUUGAUGAAAAUCAAGAGAGACGUCCUCUUGGACUUAACAUGCUGGAAAUUGCCAGGGAGAUCUUCCGGCGAUAUGUUACGGAACUUUUUGCGCGUAACAAUUGAACUGUGGAAUAAGAACAGAGAUAUUUCCGAUCUGACUCUCGGCACCGUUCGUACAGUUUUCAACUAUUUCUGAUCAUGACGUUAGAGUUUUGCCGUGCAGCAUUUUCAAUUAUCGUGUAAUCAGCUGAAUCAGCAAUUUCGAUCAGUCACGAAAACAGAAUAAAUCACGCAAGAACAUGGAUAUGGAAAUACGCAUCAAAGCCAGUCAGGAAAAGCACACAUUUCUGGCUUAGUGUGAGGUUUAUCACGGAAAGGUCGUUAAGGGCUGUGUUUGAAAAGAAUUUAGGAUUAUAUGGUGUUAGGGAUCUUCGCGUGUUUUGGUGCGAAGCUUCUAACUGACAAUUUUUACCCGUGUUUACCGGCGUACCAUGACAACGCUAGUUCCCAUUUUAGAACUCGGCGACUAUAAGAUAACUAGCAGAAAUAAUCACAAAAACAGCUAAUUAUGAAACAACAUGCGUUAAAUUCGCCAUAUAUUUUGCUUCCGAGAAAAUAAAAUGGCCAAAAAUA